GCAUCCGUAGCUCAGCUGGAUAGAGCGCCAGAUUUCGGCUCUGGAGGCCGGGGGUUCGACUCCCUCCGGGUGCACCA
rnacentral:tRNA from 1 species